AGAGUCUGAUCAUGGCUCAGAUUGAACGCUGGCGGCAGGCCUAACACAUGCAAGUCGAACGGUAACAGGAAACAGCUUGCUGUUUCGCUGACGAGUGGCGGACGGGUGAGUAAUGUCUGGGAAACUGCCUGAUGGAGGGGGAUAACUACUGGAAACGGUAGCUGAUACCGCAUAACGUCGCAAGACCAAAGAGGGGGACCUUCGGGCCUCUUGCCAUCAGAUGUGCCCAGAUGGGAUUAGCUAGUAGGUGGGGUAACGGCUCACCUAGGCGACGAUCCCUAGCUGGUCUGAGAGGAUGACCAGCCACACUGGAACUGAGACACGGUCCAGACUCCUACGGGAGGCAGCAGUGGGGAAUAUUGCACAAUGGGCGCAAGCCUGAUGCAGCCAUGCCGCGUGUAUGAAGAAGGCCUUCGGGUUGUAAAGUACUUUCAGCGGGGAGGAAGGGAGUAAAGUUAAUACCUUUGCUCAUUGACGUUACCCGCAGAAGAAGCACCGGCUAACUCCGUGCCAGCAGCCGCGGUAAUACGGAGGGUGCAAGCGUUAAUCGGAAUUACUGGGCGUAAAGCGCACGCAGGCGGUUUGUUAAGUCAGAUGUGAAAUCCCCGGGCUCAACCUGGGAACUGCAUCUGAUACUGGCAAGCUUGAGUCUCGUAGAGGGGGGUAGAAUUCCAGGUGUAGCGGUGAAAUGCGUAGAGAUCUGGAGGAAUACCGGUGGCGAAGGCGGCCCCCUGGACGAAGACUGACGCUCAGGUGCGAAGCGUGGGGAGCAAACAGGAUUAGAUACCCUGGUAGUCCACGCCGUAAACGAUGUCGACUUGGAGGUUGUGCCCUUGAGGCGUGGCUUCCGGAGCUGACGCGUUAAGUCGACCGCCUGGGGAGUACGGCCGCAAGGUUAAAACUCAAAUGAAUUGACGGGGGCCCGCACAAGCGGUGGAGCAUGUGGUUUAAUUCGAUGCAACGCGAAGAACCUUACCUGGUCUUGACAUCCACGGAAGUUUUCAGAGAUGAGAAUGUGCCUUCGGGAACCGUGAGACAGGUGCUGCAUGGCUGUCGUCAGCUCGUGUUGUGAAAUGUUGGGUUAAGUCCCGCAACGAGCGCAACCCUUAUCCUUUGUUGCCAGCGGUCCGGCCGGGAACUCAAAGGAGACUGCCAGUGAUAAACUGGAGGAAGGUGGGGAUGACGUCAAGUCAUCAUGGCCCUUACGACCAGGGCUACACACGUGCUACAAUGGCGCAUACAAAGAGAAGCGACCUCGCGAGAGCAAGCGGACCUCAUAAAGUGCGUCGUAGUCCGGAUUGGAGUCUGCAACUCGACUCCAUGAAGUCGGAAUCGCUAGUAAUCGUGGAUCAGAAUGCCACGGUGAAUACGUUCCCGGGCCUUGUACACACCGCCCGUCACACCAUGGGAGUGGGUUGCAAAAGAAGUAGGUAGCUUAACCUUCGGGAGGGCGCUUACCACUUUGUGAUUCAUGACUGGGGUGAAGUCGGAACAAGGUAACCGUAGGGGAACCUGCGGUUG
rnacentral:rRNA from 1 species